CAUGCGCUAUCGGUGCGUAUCGGCACGCAUGCGGUAUAGCUUGACAGCUGCGAUCUCAGUACGUAGCAAUACGGUUACAAAACGUAAUGUGCGGGGUGCUUGGGUGCUAGGAUCACAGUCUCCGCUUGCAUGCACGACCUGCAAAACGUAGAGCCACACGGCAACAGAGGGAAUGAUGAACACCAGCCUCCAGACCACGAGCCCCCAUGUUAUCCAGAAAAGGGAGAAGUGCUAAUGUUGGUUGGAAGCAGCAACUGUGCCGAAAAAAAGUGCCGAAGCACUAAUUCAAGACGGCGUUGCAAACGGGACACAGCGUGCCUAUGUGUCUGUCCAGAUGGCAAUUACCGGAGAGUUGAAGAUGACAGGUGCGUCACCCUAGACAAAUGCAGUCAUGCUUUACCCGCAAGCAUAAAAGGACCGUCUUUACGUCUCUGACAACAAUAAAUCACAAUCUGAAACCCGCUGAACCUGA
rnacentral:lncRNA from 1 species